rnacentral:rRNA from 1 species
GACGAACCGUGCGAACGUUAUUCGGAAUCACUGGGCUUAAAGCGCGUGUAGGCGGGCCGCCCCGUCGGCUGCUGAAAUCCCCCGGCUCAACCGGGGAACGGGCACCGAUACGAGCGGCCUGGAGGGGGGUAGGGGGGUCUGGAACUUCCGGUGGAGCGGUGAAAUGCGUUGAGAUCGGAAGGAACGCCCGUGGCGAAAGCGAGGCCCUGGACCCUUACUGACGCUGAGACGCGAAAGCGUGGGGAGCAAACAGG